UACAGAGGUCUCAAGCGUUGUUCGGAUUCAUUGGGCGUAAAGGGCGCGCAGGCGGCCCGGAAAGUCGGAUGUGAAAACUCGAGGCUCAACCUCGAGCGUGCACCCGAUACUGCCGGGCUUGAGGCAGGUAGGGGAGAUCGGAAUCCUGGUGUAGCGGUGAAAUGCGCAGAUAUCAGGAGGAACACCGGUGGCGAAGGCGGAUCUCUGGGCCUGUCCUGACGCUGAGGCGCGAAAGCUAGGGGAGCGAACAGG
rnacentral:rRNA from 1 species